rnacentral:rRNA from 1 species
GAUGAACGCUAGCGGCAGGCUUAAUACAUGCAAGUCGAGGGGCAGCAUGAUUGUAGCAAUACAAUUGAUGGCGACCGGCAAACGGGUGCGGAACACGUACACAACCUUCCAACAAGUGGGGGAUAGCCCAGAGAAAUUUGGAUUAAUACCCCGUAACAUAGCGAUGUGGCAUCACAUUGCUAUUAUAGAUUUUUCGCUUGUUGAUGGGUGUGCGGCUGAUUAGAUAGUUGGCGGGGUAACGGCCCACCAAGUCUACGAUCAGUAGCUGAUGUGCGUGCAUGAGCAGCCACGCGGGCACUGAGACACGGGCCCGACUCCUACGGGAGGCAGCAGUAAGGAAUAUUGGACAAUGGACGCAAGUCUGAUCCAGCCAUGCCGCGUGAAGGAUUAAGGUCCUCUGGAUUGUAAACUUCUUUUAUAAGGGACGAAAAAAGGCUUUUCUAAGUCGUCUGACGGUACCUUAUGAAUAAGCACCGGCUAACUCCGUGCCAGCCGCCGCCGUAACAC